CGCUCUCCCCCCACCAAAAUCAAGCACUAGAGCUACCUACGUGGUUCAGAUUCCAGAGAGCCAGCGUGCACUACACUUUGUUCACUUCCACCAACAUGGCCAACUUCGCCGCCCAGCUCAAGGAUAGGUUUUUCGGCCUCGUCGACCGCGUUGCCGGCUGCGGCCGCGCCGGGGUCAGGGAGGAGGCCCACAAGUCUGCGGCGCCGGCGCCGGCCGUUCAGGAGCACGUCGAGAUUCGACCAAGAGGCCCCGGUGUGUCAGGAGGAUCGGAGGCGGGAGUCAAUUAGACACUGUGGAUGCUACUCGUUUGUUACUCUCUGCUGAUGUCUGGAGUGUUAUCGCUUCGUUUCAGAUUCACAGAUGCUUUUCUUGUUGGUGUACUUGUGCGUGCCUGGGUGUGUUUUCAAUAUCCAACAAUAUUCUUUUCAUGCCUCGUGACUGAAGUAUUAAGCUUAAUGAUUUCAUUGUAAUAUGUAUAUUUGAUGAAGCAGUAAUAAAUUUGAUUGAAAUUUCAAAAGCUGUUCAAAA